rnacentral:rRNA from 1 species
UACGAAGGGUGCUAGCGUUGCUCGGAAUCACUGGGCGUAAAGCGCACGUAGGCGGAUUUCUAAGUCGGGGGUGAAAUCCUGGAGCUCAACUCCAGAACUGCCUUCGAUACUGGAAGUCUUGAGUCCGGGAGAGGUGAGUGGAACUGCGAGUGUAGAGGUGAAAUUCGUAGAGAUCAGGAGGAACACCGGUGGCGAAGGCGGCCUACUGGGCCAGCACUGACGCUGAGGCGCGAAAGCUCGGGGAGCGAACGGG